rnacentral:rRNA from 1 species
UACGGAGGGUGCAAGCGUUGCUCGGAAUUAUUGGGCGUAAAGGGUAGGUAGGUGGUCUUAUUUGUCUGGGGUGAAAGCCUUGAGCUUAACUCAAGAAGUGCCCCAGAAACGGUGAGACUAGAGUCUUGGAGAGGGUCGUGGAAUUCCCGGUGUAGCGGUGAAAUGCGUAGAGAUCGGGAGGAACACCAGAGGCGAAGGCGGCGACCUGGACAAGUACUGACACUCAACUACGAAAGCGUGGGGAGCAAACAGGAUUAGAAA